AGCUAAGAACUAAGAAACCCAAUAUAAGAAAGGUAAGAAAAUAGGGAAGAAGGGAAGAAAACUCCAAAUCUAGUCUAGAAAUGGAGAGGUGACGUUUUGCUCUGUUUUCUGACUCUUCCCCUGCUGCUGCUCCUUUUUUUUGUCUCCACUCCCUUUCUAAAAUGAGAUAAGGGCCUAUUUAUAUCUUUUUCUGAUAAGUAGCCCUAAAAUGGUGUGUUUAAGGUGUAGUUUUCAUGAGGGAAUCUUCUGCCAGCUAAUUAUGAAGACUCUAUGAAACUGCAUAAGUGGACUAUAUAAGUUAUGCAGGCCUUUAUGCUGUUUUCGGCAGGUUUUGGGCCCUUUGUGUGAAGCUGCACAAGUAAGGAGUAAGUCUGCAUAAGUCAUACAGUGACUUAUGCAGAUUUCGGCAGGAAUGGAAAAUUUAUGUUUUCUCCCUGUGCAGAACUACACAACUUAUGCAGCAAGUUAUGCGCAAUUUGGCCACUGCAUACUUCAACUUUCAAACUUGUUUUUGAUAUCUUUAGCUGUAGAAAUCACUCCUCAUUGG
rnacentral:misc_RNA from 1 species